AAGUGAUGGCGAGAGUGCCUUGUCAGCAGAAACAGCAGCAGUAAUUGGACCUGCUGUUAUUGAGCCCUGUGUGCUGCCAGAUGGGAACGGAUUUGCCAAGAACCAUGGAGUCAUUCACCAUUUCCACUGAAGCCAACUGCAGCAGCAUCAGGAGCAUGGUAUCCUUCUAAAUAUACACACACUCCACGUUAUUUUCAUGUGCAUUCCCUGAAGGAUGUCUGCAAGCUCUCUCUCAGUCAGUGAUGGAGCAGCAUAAGGGCCAGCAGUGUCACUGGAGUUGCUGG
rnacentral:lncRNA from 1 species